AAAUUGAAUAAGACGGAAGGUGCUUGUGGGCCUCGAUGCUGCACAAGUGAAAAGGGAAGCAGGUGUGAAUCCUGCACGAUCUCGUCACCGUAUUUCAAGAGUUUCCUUCAUAUGCCACUGGAUGAUCCGGGAAGGCGAAGGAAGCGCUAAAGAAUUGAUAAGCCGGGAGACCUGCCUGUCGUCGUACAUGGGU
rnacentral:ncRNA from 2 species